rnacentral:rRNA from 1 species
GAUGAACGCUGGCGGCGUGCCUAACACAUGCAAGUCGAGCGAGAAGUUUGAAAAAUGAGUUUUCGGACAAGUGAUUCAAACGGAAAACGGCGGACGGGUGAGUAACGCGUAGGCAACCUGCCCCGUGCAGAGGGACAGCCUCGGGAAACCGGGAUUAAGACCUCAUGAUAUCGGGUUAUCACAUGGUAAUCCGGUCAAAGAUUUAUCGGCAUGGGAUGGGCCUGCGUCUGAUUAGCUGGUUGGUGGGGUAACGGCCUACCAAGGCGACGAUCAGUAGCAGAACUGAGAGGUUCAUCUGCCACAUUGGAACUGAGACACGGUCCAAACUCCUACGGGAGGCAGCAGUGAGGAAUAUUGCACAAUGGGCGAAAGCCUGAUGCAGCAACGCCGCGUGAGCGAAGAAGGCCUUUGGGUCGUAAAGCUCUGUCCUGGGGGAAGAAACAAAUGACGGUACCCUUGGAGGAAGCCCCGGCUAACUACGUGCCAGCCGCCGCAGUAA